rnacentral:rRNA from 1 species
UACAGAGGUCUCAAGCGUUGUUCGGAUUCAUUGGGCGUAAAGGGUGCGUAGGCGGCGCGGUAAGUCGGGUGUGAAAUCUCGGAGCUUAACUCCGAAACUGCAUUCGAUACUGCCGUGCUUGAGGACUGGAGAGGAGACUGGAAUUUACGGUGUAGCGGUGAAAUGCGUAGAUAAUCGUAAGGAAGACCAGUGGCGAAGGCGGGUCUCUGGACAGGUUCCUGACGCUGAGGCACGAAGGUCAGGGGAGCAAACGGG